GUCGAGAAUUUUCCGCAAUGCGCGAAAGCGUGACGGAGCGACACCGCGUGAUGGAUGAAGUCCUUCGGGGCGUAAACAUCUUUUAUAAAGGAGGAAAUUUUUGACGUUACUUUAUGAAUAAGGGGCUCCCAAUCUCGUGCCAGCAGGAGCGGUAAUACGAGAGCCUCAAGCGUUAUCCGGAAUCAUUGGGCGUAAAGGGUGCGUAGGUGGUUUGAUUAGUCUCCCGUUAAAACUUCGAGCUUAACUCGAAAAGAGCGGGGGAAACGGUCAAACUAGAGUAUGUGAGAGGUGUGUGGAACUCAUGGUGUAGGGGUGAAAUCCGUUGAUAUCAUGGGGAACACCAAAAGCGAAGGCAGCACACUGGCACAUCACUGACACUGAGGCACGAAACCUAAGGUAGCGAAUGGGAUUAGAUACCCUUGUAGUCC
rnacentral:rRNA from 1 species